GAACUCCAACGUGGACCUGAUCAUCCCAAGAUUCCACACCCCCAGUGUCUACUUCUACAGGCCCACCGGCUCCUCCAAUUUCUUCGACCCCGAGGUCAUGAAGGAAGCCCUCUCCAAGGCCUUGGUCCCCUUCUACCCCAUGGCCGGCCGCUUGAAGAGGGACGACGAUGGUCGUAUCGAGAUCGACUGCAACGCCGCCGGCGUUCUCUUCGUCGUCGCCGAUACUCCCUCCGUCAUCGACGACUUUGGGGACUUCGCUCCCACCCUCAAUCUCCGCCAGCUUAUUCCCGAUGUUGAUCACUCCCCCGGCAUUCACUCCUUCCCGCUUCUCGUUCUCCAGGUCUCCCCUUCUUUUCUUUCUAUAUAUAUAUAUAUCUUGUAUAUGUACAUUAAUGGAACACUCCAUUGAGAGAGAGAUGUCUAUCUAUUUCGUGUGGAAUUUAGCCUGGAAAUACAUAUAUAUGUAGUUUCGGUUUUAGGAAAUAGUUAAUUCCCGAUCUUGUCUUUAAUCUACCUCGAAUCCGUUUUGAUUUUCCUUUGUCUCAGUCAGUCAUGUGCCACACUUGUAACAUUGGGCUAUAUAUAUAUAUAUAUAUAUGUGUGUAUGCAGG
rnacentral:lncRNA from 1 species